rnacentral:rRNA from 1 species
GAGUUUGAUCCUGGCUCAGGAUGAACGCUGGCGGCGUGCCUAAUACAUGCAAGUCGAGCGAACAGAUAAGGAGCUUGCUCCUUUGAAGUUAGCGGCGGACGGGUGAGUAACACGUGGGUAACCUACCUAUAAGACUGGGAUAACUUCGGGAAACCGGAGCUAAUACCGGAUAAUAUUUAGAACCGCAUGGUUCUAAAGUGAAAGAUGGUUUUGCUAUCACUUAUAGAUGGACCCGCGCCGUAUUAGCUAGUUGGUAAGGUAACGGCUUACCAAGGCGACGAUACGUAGCCGACCUGAGAGGGUGAUCGGCCACACUGGAACUGAGACACGGUCCAGACUCCUACGGGAGGCAGCAGUAGGGAAUCUUCCGCAAUGGGCGAAAGCCUGACGGAGCAACGCCGCGUGAGUGAUGAAGGGUUUCGGCUCGUAAAACUCUGUUAUUAGGGAAGAACAAAUGUGUAAGUAACUGUGCACAUCUUGAC